rnacentral:Y_RNA from 1 species
AGCUAGGUCAAGUGCAGUGGUGUUUGCAACUAAUUGAUCACAGCCAGUUACAGAUUCCUUUGUUCCUUCAUUCCCACUGCUUCACUUGACUAGCCUUUA